AUUGAACGCUGGCGGAAUGCUUUACACAUGCAAGUCGAACGGCAGCACGGGGCAACCUGGUGGCGAGUGGCGAACGGGUGAGUAAUACAUCGGAACGUGCCCAAUCGUGGGGGAUAACGUAGCGAAAGUUACGCUAAUACCGCAUACGAUCUACGGAUGAAAGCGGGGGAUCGCAAGACCUCGCGCGAAUGGAGCGGCCGAUGUCAGAUUAGGUAGUUGGUGGGGUAAAGGCUCACCAAGCCAACGAUCUGUAGCUGGUCUGAGAGGACGACCAGCCACACUGGGACUGAGACACGGCCCAGACUCCUACGGGAGGCAGCAGUGGGGAAUUUUGGACAAUGGGCGCAAGCCUGAUCCAGCCAUUCCGCGUGCAGGAUGAAGGCCUUCGGGUUGUAAACUGCUUUUGUACGGAACGAAACGGCUCUCUCUAAUACAGGGGGCUAAUGACGGUACCGUAAGAAUAAGCACCGGCUAACUACGUGCCAGCAGCAGCCGCAGUAA
rnacentral:rRNA from 1 species